ACGUUUCUACGUGGCACUGAAAUUACAUAAAUAGCCGUCAGAUACUAGAUAGUGUGCACAAUCUUAAUGACAACCAGAAAGUAUAGCAUCUCGAUCAUACCUUGGCAUUACUACUCUACAACAGCAAGGAGCAGAUUUGUUUUACAAAAUAUGGUCAUCCUUGUGUAGGAAUGAAGGCUUGGCUACAGAUGGUGGCAGGGUAUGUACAGCAAGCCUGAUUCAGCUGAACAGAGGAGGAAGCAAUCCAAUGUGAAAGAUAGCAAAGUUUCACAUGUAUAUCCACGUCUGGGCCACAUCACACAACACUUCACAUGGCUGGCUGUGAGCCCGAGCUGGGGCUGGAGAACUGAAGAAGCAACGAGAAGAUCACAAAGUGAAAAGUCUUACAGUGGGUUUUGAAGGGACAAGGCAGAGGGGCUCCGGGAUGGAUUUCCAGAGAUCGGGGGCAGAAUGGCUGAAAGAUCUAUAAGUGCAAGUUGCUAUGGAAAAGUGAGGAUUCUUCACUACCGGGUAAAAGAGCCUGGUUUCUUCUACAUCCAGGGAAUUAUUUUGACCGUAGAAUUCUCCUCCUUCUGCAUUUUUCUUUUUACAUCUACUAAAGAACAAAUUCUGAAAAUUAACAUAAUUUAAAAAUACAGUCUAUAGAAAGCUUUUUCAUUUCAGAUGAAAAGAUUUAUGACCAAAAAGCUUAAUAGUCUAAAAUGAAUGAAAUCAGUGAGCCAAACAGUUAUCCAGCCAAACCCUUCCAAUCUCCACAGAUCUGACAACAAUGCAUCCAGUGAAGGUUACAAUCAAAAAAGAUGUAAUGAAUGAAUGUACGUUGAAGUCAGUAACUAAAUGAAAAAUGUUUGCCCCCAUUUGAAUUUAUGUUAAGAUGGCUCAAUCCUGUGCUUUCUCCAGGUUUAAUUGCUGUAAUGCAGUUUUUCUAAGUACUAAUAAAUAAUAAUAAU